rnacentral:rRNA from 1 species
CCUACGGGUGGCAGCAGUCGAGAAUCAUUCACAAUGGGGGAAACCCUGAUGGUGCGACGCCGCGUGGGGGAAUGAAGGUCUUCGGAUUGUAAACCCCUGUCAUGUGGGAGCAAAUUAAAAAGAUAGUACCACAAGAGGAAGAGACGGCUAACUCUGUGCCAGCAGCCGCGGUAAUACAGAGGUCUCAAGCGUUGUUCGGAAUCACUGGGCGUAAAGCGUGCGUGGGCUGAUUCGUAAGGCGUGUGUGAAAGGCGCGGGCUCAACCAGCGGACGGCACAUGAUACUGCGAGACUAGAGUAAGGGAGGGGGAACCGGAAUGCUCGGUGUAGCAGUGAAAUGCGUAGAUAGCGAGAGGAACACUCGUGGCGAAGGCGGGUUCCUGGACAUUAACUGACGCUGAGGCACGAAGGCCAGGGGAGCGAAAGGGAUUAGAUACCCUAGUAGUC